rnacentral:rRNA from 1 species
AUUGAACGCUGGCGGAAUGCUUUACACAUGCAAGUCGAACGGCAGCACGGGGCAACCUGGUGGCGAGUGGCGAACGGGUGAGUAAUACAUCGGAACGUGCCCAAUCGUGGGGGAUAACGUAGCGAAAGUUACGCUAAUACCGCAUACGACCUACGGCUGAAAGCGGGGGAUCGCAAGACCUCCCGCGCACGGAGCGGCCGAGGACAGAUUAGGUAGUUGGUGGGGUAAAGGCUAACCAAGCCGACGAUCUGUACCUGGUCUGAGAGGACGACCAGCCACACUGGGACUGAGACACGGCCCAGACUCCUACGGGAGGCAGCAGUGGGGAAUUUUGGACAAUGGGGGCAACCCUGAUCCAGCCAUGCCGCGUGAGUGAAGAAGGCCUUCGGGUUGUAAAGCUCUUUCGGCCGGGAAGAAAUCGCACGGGCUAAUACCCUGUGUGGAUGACGGUACCGGAAUAAGAAGCACCGGCUAACUACGUGCCAGCAGCCGCCGUAAGAC